rnacentral:rRNA from 1 species
GAUGAACGCUGGCGGCGUGCCUAAUACAUGCAAGUCGAGCGAACAGACGAGGAGCUUGCUCCUCUGACGUUAGCGGCGGACAGGGGAGUAACACGUGGAUAACCUACCUAUAAGACUGGGAUAACUUCGGGAAACCGGAGCUAAUACCGGAUAAUAUAUUGAACCGCAUUGUUCAAUAGUGAAAGACGGUUUUGCUGUCACUUAUAAAUGGAUCCGCGCCGCAUUAGCUAGUUGGUAAGGUAACGGCUUACCAAGGCAACGAUGCGUAGCCGACCUGAGAGGGUGAUCGGCCACACUGGAACUGAGACACGGUCCAGACUCCUACGGGAGGCAGCAGUAGGGAAUCUUCCGCAAUGGGCGAAAGCCUGACGGAGCAACGCCGCGUGAGUGAUGAAGGUCUUCGGAUCGUAAAACUCUGUUAUUAGGGAAGAACAAAUGUGUAAGUAACUAUGCACGUCUUGACGGUACCUAAUCAGAAAGCCACGGCUAACUACGUG